rnacentral:rRNA from 1 species
AUUGAACGCUGGCGGCAUGCCUUACACAUGCAAGUCGAACGGCAGCGCGGGGCAACCUGGCGGCGAGUGGCGAACGGGUGAGUAAUAUAUCGGAACGUACCCUGGAGUGGGGGAUAACGUAGCGAAAGUUACGCUAAUACCGCAUACGAUCUAAGGAUGAAAGUGGGGACGCGCAAGCACCUCAUGCUCCUGGAGCGGCCGAUAUCUGAUUAGCAGUUGGUGGGUAAAGGCCUACCAAGGCAUCGAUCAGUAGCUGGUCUGAGAGGACGACCAGCCACACUGGAACUGAGACACGGUCCAGACUCCUACGGGAGGCAGCAGGUGGGGAAUUUUGGACAAUGGGACGAAAGCCUGAUCCAGCAAUGCCGCGUGAGUGAAGAAGGCCUGG